AUUGAACGCUGGCGGCAGGCCUAACACAUGCAAGUCGAACGAGUGGCGGACGGGUGAGUAAUGUCUGGGAACCACCCGGUUGAGGGGGAUUAAUUACUGAAACCGGUAGCUAUUCCCCAUUACCAUCGGAUUUUCCCAGAUGGGAUUAGCUAGUAGGUGGGGUAAAGGCUCACCUAGGCGCCGAUCCCUAGCUGGUCUGAGAGGAUGACCAGCCACACUGGAACUGAGACACGGUCCAGACUCCUACGGGAGGCAGCAGUGGGGAAUAUUGCACAAUGGGCGCAAGCCUGAUGCAGCCAUGCCGCGUGUAUGAAGAAGGCCUUCGGGUUGUAAAGUACUUUCAGCGGGGAGGCGUUACCCGCAGAAGAAGCACCGGCUAACUCCGUGCCAGCAGCCGCGGUAAUAC
rnacentral:rRNA from 1 species